rnacentral:rRNA from 1 species
CCUACGGGUGGCUGCAGUGGGGAAUAUUGGACAAUGGGCGAAAGCCUGAUCCAGCCAUGCCGCGUGUGUGAAGAAGGCCUUCGGGUUGUAAAGCACUUUCAGUGGGGAAGAAAGCCUUGGGGCUAAUACCCUCGAGGAAGGACAUCACCCACAGAAGAAGCACCGGCUAACUCCGUGCCAGCAGCCGCGGUAAUACGGAGGGUGCGAGGCGUUAAUCGGAAUUACUGGGCGUAAAGCGCGCGUAGGCGGUCUGAUAAGCCGGUUGUGAAAGCCCCGGGCUCAACCUGGGAACGGCAUCCGGAACUGUCAGGAUAGAGUGCAGGAGAGGAAGGUAGAAUUCCCGGUGUAGCGGUGAAAUGCGUAGAGAUCGGGAGGAAUACCAGUGGCGAAGGCGGCCUUCUGGACUGACACUGACGCUGAGGUGCGAAAGCGUGGGUAGCAAACAGGAUUAGAUACCCCGGUAGUC